UACGUAGGGUGCAAGCGUUAAUCGGAAUUACUGGGCGUAAAGCGUGCGCAGGCGGUUAUGCAAGACAGAUGUGAAAUCCCCGGGCUCAACCUGGGAACUGCAUUUGUGACUGCAUCGCUGGAGUGCGGCAGAGGGGGAUGGAAUUCCGCGUGUAGCAGUGAAAUGCGUAGAUAUGUGGAGGAACACCGAUGGCGAAGGCAGCCCCCUGGGUCAAGACUGACGCUCAUGCACGAAAGCGUGGGGAGCAAACAGG
rnacentral:rRNA from 1 species